UUUGGAGUUUGAUCCUGGCUCAGGACGAACGCGGGCGGCAUGCCUAAUACAUGCAAGUCGAACGAUGAAGCUUUCCUGCUUGCAGGAAGCGAUUUAGUGGCGAACGGGUGAGUAACACGUGGGGAAUCUGCCCAUGAGCGAGGAAUAACAUUCGGAAAACGGAUGCUAAUACCUCAUAAGUUCUCUGACCUCCUGGUCAUUGAAUAAAAGACGGCCUUUGUGCUGUCACUCAUGGAUGAUCCCGCGGCGUAUUAGUUAGUUGGUGAGGUAAUGGCUCACCAAGACCAUGAUACGUAGCCGACCUGAGAGGGUGAUCGGCCACACUGGAACUGAGAACGGCCCAGACUCCUACGGGAGGCAGCAGUAGGGAAUCUUCCACAAUGGGCGCAAGCCUGAUGGAGCAAUGCCGCGUGAAUGAAGAAGGUCUUCGGAUCGUAAAGUUCUGUUAUUAGAGAAGAAUAAGUUGAGGGGUAACUAUCUCGACUUUGACGGUACCUAACCAGAAAGUCACGGCUAACUACGUGCCAGCAGCCGCGGUAAUACGUAGGUGACAAGCGUUGUCCGGAAUUAUUGGGCGUAAAGGGAGCGCAGGCGGUUGGAAUAGUCUGAUGUGAAAGCCCACGGCUUAACCGUGGAAGGUCAUUGGAAACUGUCCAACUUGAAUGCAGAAGAGGUAAGUGGAAUUCCAUGUGUAGCGGUGAAAUGCGUAGAUAUGUGGAGGAACACCAGUGGCGAAAGCGACUUACUGGUCUGUAAUUGACGCUGAGGCUCGAAAGCGUGGGUAGCGAACAGGAUUAGAUACCCUGGUAGUCCACGCUGUAAACGAUGAGUGCUAGGUGUUGGAGGGUUUCCGCCCUUCGGUGCCGGAGCUAACGUAUAAGCACUCCG
rnacentral:rRNA from 1 species